rnacentral:sRNA from 1 species
GUAUUCUCCACUGGUUGAAUGCAAAUGGAAGCCAGAGGAAAAGGGAACCCUUGACACAGUUUUCAUAUAGACUGGCCUCCAGGGCAGACAGCAGGAGGGGGGUUUAAUCUGGACUGAAUUGGAGGAAAGGAACUGGCACCAGAGUGGAGGCUGGAAGGAUGGUGGAACUGACACUGGGACAGAACACAGAAAACAGAAUAUAAUGCUAUUGCUCUGGCUGUAUCAAAUAAAAGUGUCAAGAGUGAGCAUCCUUGCAUUGUGCUGAAUCACAGAGGAAUACCUUUCAAUUUUUCUCCAUUGACUAUGAUAGCAGUGGGCUUUUCACAUGUGGGCUUUACUGUGUUGAGGAGGAGGUCUGAUGGCCGGGAGGAUGGGAAGAAGGAACCCACAAUGAAGCAAAAGUCACGUUUAACUCUGUCCUCACCAUUCCUCUCCUGGGCCUGUCCUAAACUGGAAGCUGGGGGAGGAUGGAGUGCUGGAAUGCUGUAGAAGUCUCAUGGGAGGGCGCCUGGUGUUCACCACAUGUGUACACUGUUGCACGACCAG